UACGUAGGGUGCGAGCGUUGUCCGGAAUUACUGGGCGUAAAGAGUUCGUAGGCGGUUUGUCGCGUCGUUCUGAAAACUUGGGGCUUAACUCCAAGCGUGCGGGCGAUACGGGCGACUUGAGUACUACAGGGGAGACUGGAAUUCCUGGUGUAGCGGUGAAAAUGCGCAGAUAUCAGGAGGAACACCCGAUGGCGAAGGCAGGUCUCUGGGCCCGAUACUGACGCUGAGGGAGCGAAAAGCGUGGGGG
rnacentral:rRNA from 1 species